AGAGACAACAAUACAUCACAGACAACAGCACAAAGGACAAGAAGGUAGAGACAACAAUACAUCACAGACAACAGCACAAAGGACAAGAAGGUAGAGACAACAAUACAUCACAGACAACAGCACAAAGGACAAGAAGGUAGAGACAACAAUACAUCACAGACAACAGCACAAAGGACAAGAAGGUAGAGACAACAAUACAUCACAGACAACAGCACAAAGGACAAGAAGGUAGACAACAAUACAUCACAGACAACAGCACAAAGGACAAGAAGGUAGAGACAACAAUACAUCACAGACAACAGCACAAAGGACAAGAAGGUAGAGACAACAAUACAUCACAGACAACAGCACAAAGGACAAGAAGGAAGAGACAACAAUACAUCACAGACAACAGCACAAAGGACAAGAAGGUAGAGACAACAAUACAUCACAGACAACAGCACAAAGGACAAGAAGGUAGAGACAACAAUACAUCACAGACAACAGCACAAAGGACAAGAAGGUAGAGACAACAAUACAUCACAGACAACAGCACAAAGGACAAGAAGGUAGAGACAACAAUACAUCACAGACAACAGCACAAAGGACAAGAAGGUAGAGACAACAAUACAUCACAGACAACAGCACAAAGGACAAGAAGGUAGAGACAACAAUACAUCACAGACAACAGCACAAAGGACAAGAAGGUAGAGACAACAAUACAUCACAGACAACAGCACAAAGGACAAGAAGGUAGAGACAACAAUACAUCACAGACAACAGCACAAAGGACAAGAAGGUAGAGACAACAAUACAUCACAGACAACAGCACAAAGGACAAGAAGGUAGAGACAACAAUACAUCACAGACAACAGCACAAAGGACAAGAAGGUAGAGACAACAAUACAUCACAGACAACAGCACAAAGGGCAAGAAGGUAGAGACAACAAUACAUCACAGACAACAGCACAAAGGACAAGAAGGUAGACAACAAUACAUCACAGACAACAGCACAAAGGACAAGAAGGUAGAGACAACAAUACAUCACAGACAGCAGCACAAAGGACAAGAAGGU